rnacentral:tRNA from 1 species
AUGAUCCCAAGCCUUCUGGCGAUCUCUUAAAAAUAAAGCCCGGUCUGUUUCAAUAAACAGGAUGUUUAGACAUAUGUUUAAAUUCUACGGUUCUUAAAGACCAUAAAUUUAAAAAAGGCUUUAUGAAGAAAGCUCUUUAUGCUUUUCCAGUGAUUUAAGAUGAUACCGGGGAAGGUUUUCCGGUUUAUCCCGGAGGGCUUGUAGCUCAGUUGGUUAGAGCGCGCGCUUGAUAAGCGUGAGGUCGGAGGUUCAAGUCCUCCCAGGCCCACCAAUUUAUGCUCGUUUUUUGCUUAUCCAAGAGUAUGAAGCUUAAGCGUAUUAAAGCCUCUUUUAAUCUUUGUUUAUUUUAAAGAUUUAAUUUUAUCAUUCAAAGAUUGUUUGUUAAAUUUAUUCUAUUAAGUUUGUCAAAGGGGGAGUUUGUCAAAGGAGGUUUUUAAAUCCCUUCAUUUUGAAAUUCCUUCAAGGUAUAGAGAAAUUUAAAUGAUGUAUAGAGAAAUUUAAAUGAUGCAAAUCAAAAUAGUACAAAUCAAAGUCGUAUAAAUGAUUCAAGUUGAUAAAUUUUCUUGAGGUUGAUUUGAGAGAGCAUUCUUUAGGGGCCGUAGCUCAGCUGGGAGAGCACCUGCUUUGCAAGCAGGGGGU